UACGGGGGGGGCAAGCGUUGUUCGGAAUUACUGGGCGUAAAGGGCUCGUAGGUGGCCAACUAAGUCAGACGUGAAAUCCCUCGGCUUAACCGGGGAACUGCGUCUGAUACUGGAUGGCUUGAGUUUGGGAGAGGGAUGCGGAAUUCCAGGUGUAGCGGUGAAAUGCGUAGAUAUCAUCUGGAACGCCAAAGGUGAAAACAGACUGCUGGGAGUGUGCUGACGCUGAGACACGAAAGCUAGGGGAGCGAACGGG
rnacentral:rRNA from 1 species